UCCGUUCAGUAAGGACUGUACCCUCAGUACAAGAUUUAACUUCUCACCAAUUUUGAUAGUAUUCGACAGUUGAAACAAAAUAACGUCCAAGUAAAAUGAACCU